UUGGUUUAAAUCAUUGUGGGUCUACACUUGGAAAAUUGCAAAGUGGUGGGACAUACAUUGAUUUCAUCCAA
rnacentral:pre_miRNA from 1 species